rnacentral:rRNA from 1 species
UACAGAGACUGCAAGCGUUAUUCGGAUUCACUGGGCGUAAAGGGUGCGCAGGCGGCCGUGUGUGUGAGGCGUGAAAGCCCGGGGCUUAACCCCGGAAUUGCACCUCAAACUACAUGGCUAGAGCAUUGGAGAGGGUAGCAGAAUUCAUGGUGUAGCAGUGAAAUGCGUAGAUAUCAUGGAGAAUACCAGAGGCGAAGGCGGCUACCUGGACAAUUGCUGACGCUCAGGCACGAAAGCGUGGGGAGCAAAAGGG